ACAGUGACAGGGUUCAGACCAGGCUGAGGAAUAGAGCGCAGCUCCAACGCCAGGAACCAGCUCUCCAGUGCAGGAUGUCUGAAAAUCAAGGGAUUUGGUACCUUGUCAUUUGAAGACACUUCUGUCAUCAGAGGCUCCUCAUCCAUGAAGAGAUCCCAUCAGCCUGAUGCUCCUCCUGCUUCUGCUGCUGCUCCAGCUUUAUUUCAUUGUCCCGGCACAACAAGAUGCUCAGCAGGUCCACACAGAGAUCAACAAGCUGAGGACCCAAAGUUUUACCAAGCUAUGAAAACAAAGACAUGUUGGAAGUGAAGAAAAGAGGAGGAUGGGAGCAGACAGCACUGAAGCUCUUUCAUUGCACAUGGAGCCACAUUAAUCACCUAUUCCUGCCUUCCUUCUCCCCACCACACAAAUGAAGAGGCUCAUCCUGUUUUACUCAUCAUCACUGACAGCAAAGGUGUGAUCCAUUUGGUCUAAUUUAGUCACCACCUGCCCAGGAUCUGAGGCAGGCACCCUCAGCUCUGUUUAUUAUCAGCAGAGAGAAACAGGUACCCCCAGAGAGCAAUUUGUCUUAUCCCAAGAUGGGGGUGUCUAGAACAGGUCACAAAAAUCACACUCUGGAGAUUUUUGGGGGCAUUAAGGGAGCCUGAGGUGACUGGCUCAAACUUGGGUGCAUAACUUCUGGACAUCCCACUCAGAAUGUCCACAAGAGCUGCUCAAGUGAUGCAAUAAUUCUCACUGCAGGCUGACACGAUCUGAAUGGGACCAGCAUCUCCCAGCACAGAUAAAGUCUGGCCUGGACAGUCACAGUUAGCAACCCUGCAUUUGAUGCCUGACAUGAACCAGGAGAUAAUGCUGGGAUUGCAGCUUUGAGAGCCACCAGGUGAACUCCACCCAGCCAUCAUUAAUCAAACACACUCUGCUUCCACAUCCCAAACUUUGGGGCCUCCAGGCAUGAGGCAGCAAUGCUCAAA